GCUUACGGCCAUAUCAGCCUGGGUACGCCCGAUCUCGUCUGAUCUCGGAAGCUAAGCAGGGUCGGGCCUGGUUAGUACUUGGAUGGGAGACCGCCUGAGAAUACCAGGUGCUGUAAGCA
rnacentral:rRNA from 1 species